GAUGAACGCUGGCGGCGUGCCUAAUACAUGCAAGUCGAGCGAACAGAUGAGGAGCUUGCUCCUCUGACGUUAGCGGCGGACGGGUGAGUAACACGUGGAUAACCUACCUAUAAGACUGGGAUAACUUCGGGAAACCGGAGCUAAUACCGGAUAAUAUAUUGAACCGCAUGGUUCAAUAGUGAAAGACGGUUUUGCUGUCACUUAUAGAUGGAUCCCGGCCGCAUUAGCUAGUUGGUAAGGUAACGGCUUACCAAGGCAACGAUGCGUAGCCGACCUGAGAGGGUGAUCGGCCACACUAGAACUGAGACACGGUCCAGACUCCUGCGGGAGGCAGCAGUAGGGAAUCUUCCGCAAUGGGCGAAAGCCUGACGGAGCAACGCCGCGUGAGUGAUGAAGGUCUUCGGAUCGUAAAACUCUGUUAUUAGGGAAGAACAAAUGUGUAAGUAACUAUGCACGUCUUGACGGUACCUAAUCAGAAAGCCACGGCUAACUACGUG
rnacentral:rRNA from 1 species